CACGCACAUGGGUCUACAUCAUUAGGAGUGGCUACAACAAUAACAACACCCACAGCAACAACAAUAGCAGCAACAACUGCAGAAGGAAUGGCAAAAGUAACAUCUGUAGCAGGGCAACCAGAUGAUCCUUGUGUCCCAAAUCCUUGUGAGAAUUAUGGAGAAUGCUGAAGGACAGUCGAACCGCAAGGAUUCUACUGCAGCUGUACCUCAGAGUAUACUGGUGCUGCAUGCGAAAAUAAAAUAGUUCACGGCAACUGGGGUAUCUGGACUCAAUGGCCCAACUGUAACAAGCCCUGUAAUGGUGGAAACAAGACAAGAAAACGUCAGUGUGACACCCCUAAGCCAGCAUUUGGUGGAAGAUACUGUAUUGGUUCUGCAACUGAGAUGCAGUUUUGUAAUAUGGACAGCUGUCCAGCCGACGAAUUAAACUACGAAGUGCGAUUCAUGGCUGAAACCUGGAGUGAUGAGCUUGAAAACCCUGACAGUGAGCUGUAUAAGAAUUACAAGGAUGAGAUUCAAGAUACCGUCAUGGCCUUUUAUUUGGAAAACGGCGAUACCGUAACAUUCAAGCUUUUGAGUUUGAGG